rnacentral:rRNA from 1 species
AGCGAACGCUGGCGGCAGGCUUAACACAUGCAAGUCGAGCGGGCAUCCUUGUGGUGUCAGCGGCAGACGGGUGAGUAACGCGUGGGAACGUGCCCUUCGGUUCGGAAUAACUCAGGGAAACUUGAGCUAAUACCGGAUACGUGCGAGAGCAGAAAGGUUUAUCUGCCGAAGGAUCGGCCCGCGUCUGAUUAGCUAGUUGGUGAGGUUACGGCUCACCAAGGCGACGAUCAGUAGCUGGUCUGAGAGGUUGAUCAGCCACACUGGGACUGAGACACGGCCCAGACUCCUACGGGAAGCAGCAGUGGGGAAUAUUGGACAAUGGGGGCAACCCUGAUCCAGCCAUGCCGCGUGAGUGAUGACGGCCUUAGGGUUGUAAAGCUCUUUUCUCCGGGACGAUAAUGACGGUACCGGAGGAAUAAGCCCCGGCUAACUUCGUG